rnacentral:lncRNA from 1 species
GAAAGGCAGAAAGGCUGAGGCCCUGAGGCUGGCGAUAGUUUGUUAGGCGGCUCCCUAAACAGACUAAGGCGUCCACUCUGCACCGGAGCUUCUCAAGCGAGGCCCCCGAACAGCAGCCUCAACAUCACCUGGGAUCUCGUCAGAAAUGCAAAUUCUUCCCUCACCCCAAGUCAGCUAAAUGCUAUUUCUGAGCACAAGCAACUCCAUGAACCCUAUCCUGGUUUCUCAAUAACUCCGACCACUAGAAGGAGACACGGCCAAUUUCAGAGCUGGGAUGAGGUAAGAUUCUUUGAGCCUUGGGCAUCAAAUCGUGCCAGAAAUCAAGAAUUUGGUCAAAGACUCAUGAGGGCAGGUCUGAAAAACAAAAGAACUAGUUUCCUAAUUAAUACCAAAAAUGCAUACAUAUAUAUGUAUGUUUUCUAAUUGAUCUGACAUAUAUAUAUCAUAUAUGCCAUCUAUGAUAUAUAUCUAUAUAGAUGAACUAGAAAAUAUACAUAUACACAUAAAUACUGAUAAUUUUCACAGUCUUUCAUUACUUUUCCUUUUUGUAUGAUGGAUUUGUAUGUUGAUAUCUCAAAUGUCACCAGUGGGUUCCCUAUGAAACAAGUGCUUUUGUCUUUUACACUUGCCCUCAUGAGUCUUUGAUCACAUUCUUCUUUCAUAUAUAUUAUAUAUAUAUAAUAUAUAUAUAUAUGCUGAGUAGAUGUGAGCAUUAAAAAAUGAGUAAAAUAAAUUAAAAAUCAUAACACAAGAAUCCGUGAGUCUGUAGCAAUUAGUGCGACAAUGAGAAAAAGAACAACAAUCUUUGUCUACUCUGAUGGUGGUCAUUACAGUAAUUACGUUCACAGUACAUUGCUAAUUGAAGGAAGAAGUUUACCUUUACUCUCACUUAGAGGAAUAGUAGUUUAUUAUUUUUACUUGGUGAGAAAUUAUUUUUAAUUAAAUGUCAGGUAAGAAUAGUUAAACAAGUGGUUAAAAUUGUAAAUGAUUAUGUAAAAACCCCAAGGAAAUAACAAAUAAGAAAUAACAAAGAAGAAAACAGAAAUGCAGUAGAAAAAAGUUCAAAUCACUGAUGUAUACUCAAUCAUAUGUGAAAAUUUGUCAUGGGAAUAUGACUUCUUCUGUUGAGAAUUAUCCCCCAGCAGAUUACUAGUAAUUGUUAAAGAGAAAACAUGAGUUAAAAACAACAGAUCUGACCACUGUUAGCUUAACCAAGUUUUUAAAACUACCUUCACCACUAGUGGGGCAUUCUGUGAUUGUAUGCAGUCUAGUGUCGUGCAAUUUGAAAAACACAGCAUGAUAAAAACAUUUUCUUGCCCCAAAGUUUUAAGCCAAUGUAAUAAAAUACUCACAUCUAACUUUUAAUUUACAGGAACCUUCAACUGGGAAAAACAAGUUAACUGAUAUCAAAUACAACAAUAUAAAAACAAUUGAAUUCUGGUUAAAAAAAGAAGAGCUACAAAAGAUAUUUUGAUUAAGCAAUGAAAAAUUAAAAUAUGGACCGGAUACCAAAUGACAUAAGGGCACUAUAAAUGAUGUUCUUAGAUACAGUAAUGACACUGGAACUGGGAGAAUAUCUUCAUUCCUGUGACAUGCUUUGAGAGGUCUCUAGGGGUCAAUUGUCAUCUUUACAAUUUACCUUGAAGAGGUUCUAGAAACAUUAUAUGUAUUUAUGCAGAUAUACUCCAUAUAACAUUGCAAAAUGUUAGUAAUUUUGAAUAUAAAUGGUAACAUGGGUCUCCAGUAUUAUUUUUAUCAAAUUUUUGGAAAGUGUGAAAAUGGCCAUAUUAAAAAAUUGGGGAACUACUAGUAUUAAAACCACAUUAAUUUCUCAAUGCUUUUAUUAAAUUAUCACAGCACCAUAUCAUUAUACCAAAUUAUAACAAAAUUAUAACAAAAAAUGUAAGUU